rnacentral:rRNA from 1 species
GCGGUCGAGCGUCGCCGCACAGAGAAAUUCUUUUUUCUCAGGAGUUGGCCGAGGGGCGGACGGGUGGUGUAACUCGCCUGGGGAAAUUGCCCUCGAUUGGUGGGGGAUAACCCUUUGUAAACGAUGGUUUUAAUACCCGCAUAGGCUGAGAUGCCUUUGGGCCCAAAGAGGGGGGACCUUCUGGGCCCUUUCCGCGUCCAGGAAUAUCGCCCAGGUGGGAUUAAGCUAAUUUGGUGAGGUAAGGGCUUCACCAAGGGGGACGAUCCCUUAGUUGGUAGGGAUGUUCCUUCCCCACCUGGAAACUGGAGACCCCGGUCCCAGAUUUCUUACGGGAAGGCAGCCAGUGGGGAAUAUUUGCCCCAAUGGGGCGCAAGCCUGGAUGCAAGCCAUGCCGGCGUUGUGUGAAGGAAGGCCUUUCGGGUUGUAAAGGCAUUUUCAGUUGUGAGCAAAGGUGGUGUUCGUUAAUAGCGGCCUUCAUUUGACGUUAGCAACAGAAGAAGCACCGGCUAACUCGGUGCCAGCAGCCGCGGUAAUACGGAGGGUGCGAGCGUUAAUCGGAAUUACUGGGCGUAAAGCGCAUGCAGGUGGUUUGUUAAGUCAGAUGUGAAAGCCCGGGGCUCAACCUCGGAACUGCAUUUGAAACUGGCAGACUAGAGUACUGUAGAGGGGGGUAGAAUUUCAGGUGUAGCGGUGAAAUGCGUAGAGAUCUGAAGGAAUACCGGUGGCGAAGGCGGCCCCCUGGACAGAUACUGACACUCAGAUGCGAAAGCGUGGGGAGCAAACAGGAUUAGAUACCCUGGUAGUCCACGCUGUAAACGAUGUCUACUUGGAGGUUGUGGCCUUGAGCCGUGGCUUUCGGAGCUAACGCGUUAAGUAGACCGCCUGGGGAGUACGGUCGCAAGAUUAAAACUCAAAUGAAUUGACGGGGGCCCGCACAAUUUUGGUUAUCAGCAUGUGGUUUAAUUCGAUGCAACGCGAAGAACCUUACCUACUCUUGACAUCCAGAGAAGCCAGCGGAGACGCAGGUGUGCCUUCGGGAACUCUGAGACAGGUGCUGCAUGGCUGUCGUCAGCUCCGGUGUUGUGAAAUGUUGGGUUAAGUCCCCGCACCGAGGCGCAACCCUUAUCCUUGUUUGCCAGCGAGUAAUGUCGGGAACUCCAGGGAGACUGCCGGUGAUAAACCGGAAGGAAGGUGGGGACGACGUCAAGUCAUCAUGGCCCCUUACGAGUAGGGCUACACACCGUGCUACAAUGGGCGCAUACAGAGGGGGGGCACAUUUGCGAAAGUUAGCCGAAUCCCAAAAAGUGGGCUCGUAGUCCCGGAUUGGAGUCUGCCCACCUCGCCUCCAUGAAGUCGGAAUCGCUAGUAAAUCGUGGGUUCAGAAUGUCCACGGUGAAUACUUUCCCGGGCCUUUUACACCCCGCCCGUCACCCACCAUGGGAGAUGGGCUGCAAAAGAAGUUGGUAGUUUAACCCUUCUGGAGGACGCUCCACCAUUUAUUGGUGGUUAUCUCGGGGAUAGGGGUUUUGACAAUUGUACAAGA